CAUGGCAGCAGCAUCCACACCGCCCACCACCCGCCCCGAGGUUGUACUUGACAGUAACUGUAGCCCUUUGAGCCACAAGCACAGAACUGAGACUUCCUAUCUGGUUAGCCAGCUGCUUCCAUACUCAGCCAUCGAUACGUUCUUCGAACUGGUCCUUCUCUUCCCUACAACUACCCAGUGACAACAGGGGUCUUCGGUCACUCAAGGCCAGAGACCUCGGCCUCUAGAGUAUGGAGGGAGCCAUCAGCUUGAUGCAAGCUCUUUGAAGCAGGAUAUAAAAACAUGAAGGCAACAGUCAGGCAUCAUAACAUUUUAUGGUGAACUGAAGAAACGCAGGCUUGCACAGGCCGGUUAACAUUUCAGAAGACAUGCCGGUGCUUGACCUAAAGCAAGGCGGCCCACAAGUGGACUGAAAAACAAUACUAGCUCUCUCUCACAGGGCUUGAGGAGAGUGAUGAAGACGUUUUUUUUUUUUUUUCCAGGUGGAAUAAAAACAAAAACAAAACCCAAAACCAACCAAACAAAAACACAGCCAAGAGGAUGGGGACCGAAGCAUUCCAUGUGGAGCCUCUACUGUUUUAGUUACCCUGAGAGAGGGGAGGACCCCUGACUUCAAUUGGAGAGAGACUACGUAUGCCCUUGGGAAGAAGGCAGCGUGGCUCUUUUCAGCCUGGAGCCGAACUGCUUCCAUGAGCCAGGCAUAAGGCUGCAAAGAGGACCAGAGGAGGAAAACACUGUAAUACUGAGAUAUCAGCAGGUUAACAAUUGUGAAUGCUUCCUUAGCUGGGUGAACCCAAUUCACCACCAGCAAGCAGGAAUUCACAGUAAAGAGUGAGCUCCAAGAACUAAACAGGCAGAGUUCUUUCUAGAAUAAACCAAGGUCGUUGUGGAGGUUGCUGGCAAGGAAGUCUGAAGUGGCCUGGACUACAAGGACUUGUGUUGAAGGGGGGGGGGGGGAAAGACUUGUUUUCAUUGCUCUGCUCAUGGGCACAAAUAGUGACUCUGAAGUCUUGAAAACCCCAACACAGCACUACAGCCCAUUAUGUCACUGCGGUUUUGUUUUAAAAGGACAAAGAGGCAAGUUAGAACCCGAGCCUGCUGCCAGCCUCAGUGCUGACUUUUUCCUCUCCUUGUGAGUUUAGGCACCAUCUCAGUAC
rnacentral:lncRNA from 1 species